GGCGGUGUAGCUCAGUAGUAGAGCAUUUGACUGCAGAUCAAGAGGUCUCCAGUUCAAUUCUGGAUGCCCCCU
rnacentral:tRNA from 1 species